AAUAAUUAAUAUAUCAUUAAUUCCACGCAGUUGAGCCUGGAAAUAGACCAAGGGAACACAUCCAAGUCGAGCUCUUCAACCGUUGAAGCUUCCAAAGAUAAAACCGUUCACGAAAGGAGUGACGAGAAUUCGGUAACAGCCGUUGGCCAAGAAAAACAAGAUCCUCCCACAAUCCAAGCACAAGAGGGAGCUUCUUAUGCAGAUGGAUUUGUAAGAUCAGUAACAGCUAAACAAGAAAUCGUACGACAGAGAAAGAAAACCCGAAAAAAGUGGUUAGGGUUGUUCCGACUUUCAUGUUGAUUGAUUUUUGUAAUUUAUUUUACUUUUCAUGUUUUAUUAUCAUGUAUUAGAUUAUCGAAGUACGCUCGAACUGAGCUUAACAUUUUAUCGCACGAAAAAUUUAUUCAAACAUUAAGAUUUAGCACAAAUUGCAAAUAAUAAAAUAUCUCAGAUACUCAAAUAACUAUGUUAGAAACUAUUUAUAUAUAGGGACCUAAAAAAACCAGUCCUUAAAAACCAGUACCUAAUAUAUAUAUAUUUCUGCUAAUUUCACUCCAGAGCCUAAUUCCCCUAUUUAUAUUUCAAGGCAGCAAAUCUUUUACCAUAAUACUCCAUUACUCCUGCCCUAAAACAGGGCACCACAAACCUAGGACACGCGACCUGCACACACCGGACAAGGUGGGUCCCAUCUAUCUUGGUGUCCCGUUUCUUGUUCCAAGCAAUCAGCAUGAUACAUGUGGCCGCAAACCAAAACCGCCACAACCGAAACAUCGUUCAACGGCAUAGAGUUGUCCAAAACAAACGGGGUUUUCCUCAACCGCUUCUUGCAUAUCCUGCACUCCAUCUUCCGGAGGAUUCCGGAAACUCC